rnacentral:lncRNA from 1 species
GGGCAGGCAGGCGGGCUGGCGGACGAGAGAGAGAGAGAGGGAGAGGGCCUGGCUGGUUGGCUGUGGUUCAGUGUGUGUGUGAACGGUUCUGGGUACGGGCAGGCUGGCAUACAGGGCUGGCUCAUCUCCCCCAUGGUGCCAGCGGUGGUGAACGGGGCAGGCUAGACUAUACCGAGCUGCUGCUGCCCACCUCCCUCCAUCCUAAACUUUGGGUAUAUAUCAACCCCCCACACCCCCCAUUGUCUAUUAAACCUCCCGGUGAGUGUGCACGGUGGUUGUACUCCCUUGAGAACUUUUAUCAUCUCAGGUGAUGGUGAACACACACACGGGUGGCCAGGCAAGGUAUUUCCCGCCACAGUCAUGAUAAUGUAUUGUUAGAGAAAAUAAAUCCUCGUUACAAUUGAUACUAAGAAUACGACGCUCUUGAUAAUACAAAUACGAGAAAACGUUGAAAAUCAUAAGAAAAAAUACCUUGAAAUGAGCCAUCUUAGUUGGACAAUAAUGCAGAAAACUCUUAACGUUGUCAGAAAGCUUUAAAAAGAAAAGAAAAGAAAAAGAUGCAUGCUGAGUGUUUGCCAAAGGUAGUGGAGGAGCGAGGUAGGUCGGUGGUGGUGGUAGCGACGGUGGUGUAGUAGUGGUGGAGGUAAUAGUGACAACGGCAGUAGUAGUAGUGAUAGUGGUGGUGGUGACGGGUGUAGUGCAAUGGUGUUGGCGAUAAAGUGCUUUACAGUCAUACAACUAGACUUCUCCCUCUACCCACCCACCCACCCAUCCACCCAUCCACAAUGACGUAAACUCCUGUUUAUGAUCGUGUGUGUGUAAGAACAUGGCCACAAUGACCGGUUAGUGUGGCCAGGAGGAACAGUCGGGAGGGCCAUCUUCCCUUGGCCACUCUCCCUCCACCUUUCAAGAAAAUGAUGACUACAGUACCCAGAAAUACCCCAUCAAUAGCGAUUAAUACCUGUCAGUAAUAUCAAUAUAUAUUAUAAACCCGCCAAUACCUACCUACCUACCUAUCUACCUAUCUACCUACCUCCAGUGGCACUCGUGAGAGGUAGAGGUGUUGUGGUUGUUGUUGUUGUGUUGUUGUUGUUCUAGUGAUCCACAAGUGAAGGGAAUUGUUGUGAGUUGUGAUCUUUACCCAGAGAAUGUGAAGUGUCGGAACCAGUCAAAAUAUAAAUAGAAAAUAGAAUAAUUUCUCUAAGUUUGUGUCAUAUCAUGUUGUGAAAUAUAUUGUAUAAAACAAUAUAUAUAUAUAAAAUAAAUAAUUGAAAUCCAGGGAAAAAUACACACUAAAUAUUGAUGAAAUUUACGUUUUGAAAAGGAAGUGAUUCUAGUUUGACCGAAUCGUUUUUUUUUGUGUGUGCUUGCUAGUUGUCUUCUAUGAGCUAGCUAGUUGGGUGGCAGGCUAGUAGAAGCAGCUAGUAGGAGGGUGGACCAGACCAGAGCCGGGUUCGUGACCCACUUCAUCACCACUCAGCACCGCCGCCCUCACUUACCAUGGACGGCCAUCGAGGGAUACUCCUCUUCCUCUUCCUCAUAUUAGGUAUGACCCCACCAGGAGACAAUACCUGUUAACAGUAUUACCACUACGGAGGAUGUGUCAUCAAAGAAGAGGUAAGAUGCAGUGACGUAGAUUAAUAAUGCAGUGCCCCAGACAUCACAGGUAAGAGUCAGCCAAUCACCUGGAACCAAUA